UACGGAGGGUGCAAGCGUUGUCCGGAUUUAUUGGGUUUAAAGGGUGCGUAGGCGGCCUUGUAGGUCAGUGGUGAAAGCCUCCAGCUCAACUGGAGAACUGCCAUUGAUACUGCAAGGCUUGAGUACAGACGAGGUUGGCGGAAUUGACGGUGUAGCGGUGAAAUGCUUAGAUAUCGUCAAGAACACCGAUAGUGAAGACAGCUAACUAAGCUUUAACUGACGCUGAGGCACGAAAGUGUGGGGAUCAAACAGG
rnacentral:rRNA from 1 species